UUCAUAUUCCCUCACACUCUUCCCUCUAACUGUGUUCUCCUUUCUCCUUUGUAGAACAUCAAGAAGAUCUGCAGGGAACAUUUUCCUUGGUGAUGGAGGUCUGGAAAGGUGGCUCUGGAGUCUCCUGCCUCACUUCUGCACAAUGUUUCGGCCACCACUGAAGGCCAGGAAGGACGGGGAGCCAAACCAAGUGGAAUCUUGGUUCUCAACCUCAUCACCUUGCCUCACCACGAAGCACACCAACCUCAACAACAAGUGCCUCGGAACCAUUAGAUUCAGUCCUAGCGCCUCCACACUCAGCACACACUCCAGCACCCCCAGAACAUGUACCACCUCCAAUAACAGGAGUUUCAGUCACAACACCAAACAAGCUAUCAUCAAAUUAAUGCUGGAGUGCAUCAAUGCAUCUUAUAUGUUCCAUAUGAGACGAAACCUUUAAGAAGAAAUGUAGGGACAUUAGUGGACAUCUUGUCUUCAGGAGUGCUCAAGAGCUAUUAAAAACCACCAUAUCGGAAGGCUCUCUUCAGUUUUGGAUAAGGAGAGAAAAGCAGGAGCAUUAUACUUUUGCAAAGAGGAGGGAGUCAAGGUUUCAGAGGAAAUGUCUCUUCGUUUCUGCACUUUACCACCAACACCACCCCGAAGACCAGAGGCCAUGAAGAGUGAGGCUCCAUCAAAGCAUACGAAAUCUGGAUAAGGCGCUAAAGGCAGAAGCAUCAGACUUCUGGAAAAAGAAAGGGGUCAGGGUUUCAGAGAAAAUGUCUCAUCUCUUUCAUAGCAUUCCUGGAGUGUACCAGCACCACACCAAGCCCAGAGACCAUGAUGAGUGGGGGACCCAUUUUAGCAGUCUUUCAAAACCUGGAGAGCUGCGUGACUCCCACUGACGAUGGAGCUGGACCAACUUGCCACACAUGCCUAUCAUGAUCCAACUCAGGAAGUGGGGAAUUUUGGAAGGAAGGCCUGAAGGAGGAGGAUGGGAGUUGUAUUCCAUCCACACCCGGAGAGCUGUGUGACUGACUUCAACUAAUGAUGGAUCUGGAUCAAAAAUCUCAAACAGUUCUGGUCCCCAGCACUUCAGAUAUUAAACAUGUAUUCCUAUAA